CGUACUUUGUAGUGCCUUUAAAUUGUGAUAUUAACUGUCUUCACUUCUUCAAUAUUAUUAUUUUUCAAACAUGUCAAUAUUCACUACUUGCCCAGCUCUUGAGGAAACUCGCUCACAUGGCACUGAAGUUGCAAUCAUGCAUAGUCAUCUUUUUACCAACUCAUACAUUCUUGGAUAAACUUUUUUUCGUUCGGCCCACCAAGCUAAGGGAUUUUCAAAUCUACUUAUUAAAGUGGUAUUGUUGGGUGAUUGGACUUCAUAUGACAUAACAAGUUUCCUGUUGAGCCACCAUUAAAACUUUUUGUUUCUGAACAAAUAUUGCAUUUUGCCUUGACGUUAUCCAAUGUAGUGAAAUGAUGCCAAACACUACUACGUUUUCUAUUCAUUGUACGGGAUGACAUAGUGCUAUUACUAAUAAUAAUUAUGCAUAGUUGUAAUUUUUGUUGUUGGCA